UUUGAUGGCGACCGGCGCACGGGUGAGUAACACGUAUCCAACCUGCCGAUGACUCGGGGAUAGCCUUUCGAAAGAAAGAUUAAUACCCGAUGGCAUAGUUCUUCCGCAUGGUAGAACUAUUAAAGAAUUUCGGUCAUCGAUGGGGAUGCGUUCCAUUAGGUUGUUGGCGGGGUAACGGCCCACCAAGCCUUCGAUGGAUAGGGGUUCUGAGAGGAAGGUCCCCCACAUUGGAACUGAGACACGGUCCAA
rnacentral:rRNA from 1 species